UACGAAGGGGGCUAGCGUUGUUCGGAAUUACUGGGCGUAAAGCGCACGUAGGCGGCUACUCAAGUCGGGGGUGAAAGCCCGGGGCUCAACCCCGGAACUGCCCUCGAAACUAGGUAGCUAGAAUCUUGGAGAGGUCAGUGGAAUUCCGAGUGUAGAGGUGAAAUUCGUAGAUAUUCGGAAGAACACCAGUGGCGAAGGCGACUGACUGGACAAGCAUUGACGCUGAGGUGCGAAAGCGUGGGGAGCAAACAGG
rnacentral:rRNA from 1 species